rnacentral:rRNA from 1 species
UUACACAUGCAAGUCGAACGGCAGCACGGGAGCAAUCNGGUGGCGAGUGGCGAACGGGUGAGUAAUGUAUCGGAACGUACCUUUCAGUGGGGGAUAACGUAGCGAAAGUUACGCUAAUACCGCAUAUUCUGUGAGCAGGAAAGCAGGGGAUCGCAAGACCUUGCGCUGAUUGAGCGGCCGAUAUCAGAUUAGCUAGUUGGUGAGGUAAAGGCUCACCAAGGCGACGAUCUGUAGCGGGUCUGAGAGGAUGAUCCGCCACACUGGAACUGAGACACGGUCCAGACUCCUACGGGAGGCAGCAGUGGGGAAUUUUGGACAAUGGGGGCAACCCUGAUCCAGCCAUGCCGCGUGAGUGAAGAAGGCCUUCGGGUUGUAAAGCUCUUUCAGCCGGGAAGAAAUCACAUGGGUUAAUACCCUGUGUGGAUGACGGUACCGGAAUAAGAAGCACCGGCUAACUACGUGCCAGCAGCCGCGGUAAUACGUAGGGUGCGAGCGUUAAUCGGAAUUACUGGGCGUAAAGCGUGCGCAGGCGGUUUGUUAAGAUAGGCGUGAAAUCCCCGGGCUCAACCUGGGAACUGCGUUUAUGACUGGCAGGCUAGAGUAUGGCAGAGGGGGGUGGAAUUCCACGUGUAGCAGUGAAAUGCGUAGAGAUGUGGAGGAACACCGAUGGCGAAGGCAGCCCCCUGGGCCAAUACUGACGCUCAUGCACGAAAGCGUGGGUAGCAAACAGGAUUAGAUACCCUGGUAGUCCACGCCCUAAACGAUGUCAACUAGGUGUUGGGUGGGUAAAACCAUUUAGUACCGGAGCUAACGCGUGAAGU